UAGCCUGCGCCAGUAGAAUUUCCAACCCGCUUUUGACAGCAGCCGUCCGAUGUGGUAGCUUUUUUCUCACCCGCUGCUUCUCUGGACAGGUGACUGACAGGUGGGACUAGGUGUGUGCGGGACCAGCGAACAGAGGCAGGGACGCUGCUCGUUUCACGUCGCACACUCUUCCUACGCGCGUGGGGCACGGUGAAACCCUAGAUCGAUCAACCACUCCCCCAGCCCAAUCGGCUGGCCAAUCAAAAGCCUCAUCUCUCCCCAAUCCCGUGCCGUCUCUCCUCCUCCGGCCGCCCGAUCCAUCCAAGCGCCAUGAGCUGGUGGUGGGCGGGCGCCAUCGGCGCCGUCAAGAAGCGCCAGGACGAGAACGCCGCCGCGGCCGAGCCCACCUUACAGAGCGUCGCGCUCGUCGUCGGAUCCACGGCAUCGUCGGCACCUCCCUCCUCGACAUCCUCCCGCUGCAGGACACCCCCGGCGGCCCCUGGAAGGUCUACGCGCUCUCCCGCCGCCCGCUCCCGCCCUGGUCCCCGCCAUCCUCCCCCGCCGUCACGAAUCUGCACCUCGACCUCGCCGACUACGCCGCCGUCGCCGACGCCCUCGAGCCCCUCAAGGACAUCAGCCGGUGGGGCUCGCGAUCUCCGGUUAAGGACGCCUCCCCCGCCUCGUCCUCCCCUGCCUCCGCACCCGGAGAGGACGACCCAACCACGAUGUAAGCCUUCGACCCUUCUUCCAUGGAGGCACCUCGAUCUGACGGCGCUAGAUCCACCCAGCCGCGGCUCAUGCUAUAUGAUUCGGUCGGGAAGGCCAUCCUAUCGCCGGUUCUACCGCCGCUGAUGCCCAGGCCGCCUCGUGUAUUUCUCUUCUCCGGCGGUGGUUCCUCGUCUUGCUUCUCCCUCCUCUCUUUCUCUUCCUAUUCCUCUCUGUCUGUCUCUCUCUUAUCUCCCACUCUUGUUGAUUUUAGGUACGGUUCUACUAUUAGAAUUUGUUAUCUUUCAUCUUCGAGAGAGAUAGGAGCCAGCUCUUGCUCAUGUGCUCUAGAUCUCAUAUAUAUUUUGAUUCUGAAUCGAUUUGGCCUGUCUGUUGAUGCCGAUGAUGAUUUCCUGCUCGUUUUGCAGAUCUGACAUGGAUUUCGCUGCAAACUAUGUCAGCUGGUCGGUGGCUGUUGCUUGCCAUUGAGGUCCACAUGAUAGUGGAAUGAGAAGCAAGGUAUUAUGUGGAACCGUUGCUUAAUGAAAAUGGUAAAGAUUGGAGUUUGCUGCAUCUGUUUUGCCUGGCGAGAAGCACGAGGGGGGCCGGCACGGGGAGCCCUCAGGGUCGCGCGGCCUCCUCCUCCUUGGCACCGGUGCGCCUGGCGCUGAGCAGCGGCCAUGGCGCCGCUCGCCGGAGCACAAUAGCCGUCCGGUUGCUCGUCUGACCUACCUCCCUAGAUUCAAAUUGGAGACUACAAAGCAGCCCAGAAUCUAUAUAAGUUCGGACACCACGCUGACUAUAUUCCCAAGCGCCCACGCCCACGGAGAUGGAAGGGGCUGCAGACGGUGAGUUGCAGAUUUCUAUCUGUAUGUUUUUUCCUUCCUUAGUAGUUCUCUUUUAUGCUUCAGUGUUUCUAUUAAAAUUAGUUUGCAGUCCUUACAAAAGAAGCUAGAUUAGGUGGGUGUGGUACAAAAAAAAAGAUUGUUGAUCAGCAUGUCCAGUCAACUUUUGCUCAUCGGUUCACUUUGCAUAUAGUGUGUAACUGAGAUUCGCUGUCUCAAAGAUGAUGAUUGAGAUAAAGUGUGAGCAAUGUCGUUUUGCUUUAAGAAAACUUUUAUAUAUUUGCACAUUUGCACUAAAUAUAUGGUCUGAUAAAUAGUAGGUGUGCUCGAUCCCAGAUUUUCACUAUCAGUAUAUAAAACUGACAAUGGUUUGUGCAAUGCUUAGGAGUAGCUUUACAACUCUCUCAAAAUGAGUAGCAUUGUUGAGAUAGAUGUCAGCAUGGGUGAAGGCAAGGUAUCACUUAGAGUUAGGUGUGUGUUAUUCUGGUUUUCCCUGGGAGCAGAAUGUGACCGUGAGUGUGGUUGGGUGAUCCAAUCUGGUCAAGAUCUGUGUAUAGCUCUUUCAAAAAAAAAAUUGUGUAUAGCUCGGCAAUUCAGGUACCCAGCUACCUUUUUCAUUUAAUGGCAUGUUAAACCUGGUGCAUAUUCUAGCCAGUGGUGCUUUUGUUAUCAGGUUUAAGUGUUUAAUUUGAUACCCUUAUGUUUCUUCCCAAAGUUCUGAGAUGUCCAAAGUAUUUCAGAUCCUGAGAGGAAUCAAUACAUGCGAGAUGUGUUUAUUUUACUGCUAAGAAUACAUGCUUAGUUUUAUUAUUAUUUGGUUCCGUUUCAUUGCUGAUAAGAACAGAUGCAAAGUGUUCUCAUUCUCAUGUUCCUUCUUACUGUUGAGAACAGAUAAUAAUAUAUAUACCGUAUUCUUAGAUUGACCAUGUCGUGUUGAAAAUGUCACCAGGUUCUAAUCCAAAAUAUAUGUUCUCUCGCAAAAAAAAAAAGGUUUUUGUUGUCAAAUUCAAUAUAAGUUGUCUCCUGUACAUGUAUGUGUAUGUUUGUCAAGAAAAUAAGAAAACAGUUUGUUAUUGUCUUUCGUGGUAAAUCUGUACCAAAAAUUAACUUUAUAUCACAUGAUUCAGAUCAUAUUGGAGGGUUAUUGUAAGAACUGAAAUGAUGUGCAUACUGCAUAGCCUUUCUAAAUGAUAUAGAUAUCAGCGAGACCUCAAUUCCGCUUCAAAAGGAGUUAGGGCUACUUGCUCAUCUUAGACUUACCUACAGGGCUAGAUAUCAAGUAAAAGUAUGAGGUGUUUCACGUUAUGUAUUUUAUUUCUAGCAAUUAUUUAAUGCAUUUUCUACCAUUUAUAUGUAUAGUUUGCAGAGGUAACAACCCCUUCCAUAUUUCAGGUAAAAAGAAGUGAAUUUAUUUUCUUCUGUAUGUACUACAUGCUUUCACACCUUAUUUAUUUCCGAGUGUUUUCAAAAAUUUAUUUGGAAGGAGAAAACACAAUUCUAUACUUAAUUAAAAUUUAGGUAUUGAUGUGUGUUGUAUAGGAACAAAUAAUAUAUUGCUGUUGUCUUCGGUUCUCCAUAUAUUACUUGUCUUUUUGCAGCCAUUCAUGAUAGCUUGAAAUGGACUAAGGGUUUUAUUGAAAUGAACAAGUUACUUUAGUUGGGACUUUUCUUGAAAUGAACAAUAAGAAAACCAUUUGGAUAUGUCUAUAUUUUUGUCUGCUAAUAUACUAUGAUCCAUUCCUGUAUCUUGGAAGAGCCAAGUAAGAAGCUAAUCCAGAGGUGCAUACUAAUUUCUAAUGAACCCUAAUUAUCAGAUUAGAUCAGUAGCAUUGCUUGGUAUUUGAAGUUAUUCAGCUCAGACCUACUAUCAGUUUUCAUACUAAUAAUUUGUCUACUUUUUAAGAAUGUAGAUAUGGAAUAAUUAUUGUUCCAAAAUAUACCGCUUUCUUAUAUAUGUGGGGCUCUGUAACAUGUUUGCAUUUGUCAUUUAUCUGAACCAAGAAUUUAUUGUUGUUCCAAUAUAUACUGCUUUCUUACGUAUGUGGGCUCUGUAACAUGUGUGCAUUUCUUAUUGAUCUGAACCAACAAUUAAUUAUCCACAGAUGAACUAUAAGCAUGAUCAGAUGAUCUGUAUAUUAUUUUAUUCUAUGUUGCCUUCGAAGCUUUGUAGGGAGUAAAUCAUGCAUUUAAUAGUUACAUAUGUCAUAACUGAUGGAGUUUUGUUGGCUUUGGAUGUCAAGUAUUUUCUUUCAAUCACACUCGAAAAUUAGGAAGCUGACGAAAAAGGAGCAAUUGAAGUAGUGGAGAUGUUGUAGUUUAUAUAAACUGCCAGCAUUGCUAAGUGACUAUUAAUUUAUCAUUUUGUGAAACCUAUUGCUCUUUUAUUUGAAUUGAGGGUCUUCUUAUGGCCUAGAUAUUUUCCUAUCAGAGACCUUUUAUGGAUAAUUUAGGCAAUGACUUUCUUAUCAAAUAUGACGACCAUUGCAAAUAAUUUCUUUCGGUAGGUGAUCACUUUAAAAUUUUCCCAAACCUAAUAUUAUAUAGGUCAGUUUAUGAACCAGUUGUAAAUUUGUGGCUAUGGUCGCUUAUUUAUUCAGGGAAGAGGACAUUCCCAUAACAAAGCCAUUUGACUUUACGUUGUUAAACUACCCCUUCCACAAGGGGUUGCAGUAAACCAUACCGCCCAACAAAUAUGACGACCAUUGCAAAUAAUUUCUUUCGGUAGGUGAUCACUUUAAAAUUUUCCCAAACCUAAUAUUAUAUAGGUCAGUUUAUGAACCAGUUGUAAAUUUGUAACAAAGCCAUUUGACUUUACGUUGUUAAACUACCCCUUCCACAAGGGGUUGCAGUAAACCAUACCGCCCAACAAGCAGUGAAACACCCUGAAGUUUAGGAGAAUCAACAUCACCAAUUUGCUAGGAGAGUAAACUGUAGUGCCCAACAAUAGGUAUGCUUCAGGAAUUAUUGCUUAGCUGAAUAUGCAUAAAGAUCACAACUGCCUUACUUCGCCAUUUGCAGUUAAUUAUGUUCUUUACUUCCAUAUUGUUGUAUUAUUGAUAGGUAAAAGUAGAACCAAAUAUUUCCUAUAUCUGUUCAAGGUACUAUAGAGCCUGGGGCUCAUAUUUAGUGCUACAGAAUACUAGAAAACGAUUGAUGUUUGGUCUGCUGGUUAUUUUUGUGUGUGUGAGAAGAGACCCUAGGCUGGUUUUGAGAUUACCGGCGGCAAGAUAUCUAAUAAAAUUAAAUGUGAUCUGAUGAUUGCAUAAGCAGGUCUGCUUUGCAAAGUUAAAACUCAAGUAUACACACACAUCAUGUGAUUCCAUUUUACUUAUAUUUUCAGGUGAUUUCCUUGUAUUUUAUGUUUCAGUGCUGCUGUUGUUGGGUGUUUUUUUUGCGGCGGAGUCUAUUUUGUGGCCUUCAUAUGCGGAUUCUUCACCCCUUUCCAACUCAACACCUAUGGUGAUGCUUAGUGCAGUGAUAGUGUCUGUUGUUUCAGAGAUUGGUUUUGGUUUUGAUCCUGCUUUUACAAUUCCAGGAUAUGUAUGAUUUUUGCUCUCCGAUAGGUACCUUAUCUUCACUAUAAUUGAUAUUUGGAGCACUUUUUAUGAGUUACAAAAUAUCUCCUGCAGUAUUUGCGGUUAUGUGUCACAUUUCUUAUGACAAAUUAUCUUCUGUUUUAAUUUUCCCCGUUGAAUAACACUUUACAGUUAACUUCAUAGGUGAAAACAAAAGAUGUCACGCCCUUCACCAAUUUAUGUCGAAAGGGAGUAAGAAGCCUCCUGGGCUCUGCAUCCUCGGAUGCACAGGGCCAUGUGUUUUAUUAAAAUAUACCAUUAAAGUAGUAAAUAGGACACCAAACGAAAAACUCUAAAAAAUCAGCUAAAAGUCUGCAUUAAUUGGUUCCAAAUUGCGCAGAUUGGUUCUUGAGUACGUGAUGCUCCUAAAGCCAUUGGGUGUUUUCGAAUUGUAGAACACGCCUAUAAAUUACAAUCCUCCCGAUUGUAGGUUAGUCUUACUGACUUUAAAUGGUAUGUUCUUUUUACAUUUUGUUUUCCGCUCCGGGAAUGAAAGUAUGAGGAUAUUUACAUGACUUCAAAAAUGUUAGAACUUUCUCUGUAUCUCUUGUUGGGAGUCUUUUUUGGCUCUUGUGCAUUGUAGGAGAUCGUGAAUGGCAGAAUUAGGUUACAGAUAGUGUGAGAAAUCACUGAUUGGUAGACUGAGCUAAUUUGGAACAUCUUUUUUGCUUCACCAUGUAGUACCUACCUUAGUUUUUCUAUUUCUCAAACUUUAUGAUAUUAUGGUCCUUUGUAACUGCAAAGAGAAAUCUACAAAUAAUAUGUUAAGUGCUCAAAGUGAAUAUGUAAAUUGAGUUAAUUUGUGGUAUUAAGUAGGAGUUUAUAUAACUAACUAAAUGCAGGCAUGCCAGAGGUGCAUGUGACCACAGCUGAGUACCUUAGUGCGCUUACUUUCACUCAUGUCAUGAAAAGACUGGUGGCCUGCCGCCGAGGGAGGAGACACUGACUGCGCUGAGCCGAUGUCAUCUGAAGAAUCAAGCACCAAGAUACUGCAUCCUGCCACUGCUCGCCAUCUCGCCGCUCCAUGGCUAGGUACAGCGGCUUUCCAUGCACACCACUGUGCUCGGUUUACCUUGGGCUCAUCAUCAAGGACGAUGGCAGCAGUCAGGCCUGAUCCGGAGGCGGUUUGGCACAAGGUUUCAUAACUUCAAAUCAUUCAGUAAUUAAUCUUCAAGAAAUGUAUUAAGAGCAUCGUGUAGAAGUUCAUGAUUGUUUGACUCAGUUAUGGCAAAUGAAGCAGAUGAGUUUUUCAUGUAUUCUUGUUUGUAGCAAAGUAUAAGGGCAAUAAUUUUUUUAGAUGGCUUAUUAACAUUUGUGAAACAGUGGCUUGUUCCUUCACCAUACCACAUGCUUCAAAGGGUGGAGCAUGUCACCAUCCUCAAUCCAUGAGUGUGAUAAGCAUUCGGUGCUUCAUGCUGAUU